UGGGGAAUCUUCCGCAAUGGGACGAAAGUCUGACGGAGCAACGCCGCGUGAACGAUGACGGCCUUCGGGUUGUAAAGUUCUGUUAUACGGGACGAAUGGCGUAGCGGUCAAUACCCGUUACGAGUGACGGUACCGUAAGAGAAAGCCACGGCUAACUCCGUGCCAGCAGCCGCGGUAAUACGGAGGGUGCAAGCGUUAAUCGGAAUAACUGGGCGUAAAGGGCAUGCAGGCGGUUCAUCAAGUAGGAUGUGAAAUCCCCGGGCUCAACCUGGGAACAGCAUACUAAACUGGUGGACUAGAGUAUUGCAGGGG
rnacentral:rRNA from 1 species